rnacentral:rRNA from 1 species
GAUGAACGCUGGCGGCGUGCCUAAUACAUGCAAGUCGAGCGAACGGACGAGAAGCUUGCUUCUCUGAUGUUAGCGGCGGACGGGUGAGUAACACGUGGAUAACCUACCUAUAAGACUGGGAUAACUUCGGGAAACCGGAGCUAAUACCGGAUAAUAUUUUGAACCGCAUGGUUCGAAAGUGAAAGACGGUCUUGCUGUCACUUAUAGAUGGAUCCGCGCUGCAUUAGCUAGUUGGUAAGGUAACGGCUUACCAAGGCAACGAUGCAUAGCCGACCUGAGAGGGUGAUCGGCCACACGGGAGCUGAGACACGGUCCAGACUCCUACGGGAGGCAGCAGUAGGGAAUCUUCCGCAAUGGGCGAAAGCCUGACGGAGCAACGCCGCGUGAGUGAUGAAGGUCUUCGGAUCGUAAAACUCUGUUAUUAGGGAAGAACAUAUGUGUAAGUAACUGUGCACAUCUUGACGGUACCUAAUCAGAAAGCCACGGCUAACUACGUG